AUUGAACGCUAGCGGGAUGCUUUACACAUGCAAGUCGAACGGCAGCGCGGACUUCGGUCUGGCGGCGAGUGGCGAACGGGUGAGUAAUGUAUCGGAACGUGCCCAGUAGCGGGGGAUAACUACGCGAAAGCGUAGCUAAUACCGCAUACGCCCUACGGGGGAAAGCAGGGGACCGUAAGACCUUGCACUAUUGGAGCGGCCGAUAUCGGAUUAGCUAGUUGGUGAGGUAACGGCUCACCAAGGCGACGAUCCGUAGCUGGUUUGAGAGGACGACCAGCCACACUGGGACUGAGACACGGCCCAGACUCCUACGGGAGGCAGCAGUGGGGAAUUUUGGACAAUGGGGGCAACCCUGAUCCAGCCAUCCCGCGUGUGCGAUGAAGGCCUUCGGGUUGUAAAGCACUUUUGGCAGGAAAGAAACGUCGCGGGCUAAUACCCCGUGGAACUGACGGUACCUGCAGAAUAAGCACCGGCUAACUACGUG
rnacentral:rRNA from 1 species